GGAUUGUGGCUCAGUGGUAGAGUACUCACCUAGCAAGGGCGGGACCCGGGUUCGAUCCGGAGCACCA
rnacentral:tRNA from 1 species